CUCUUCAUAAAAGAUGUUUAUGGCUAUGUGAAGUCCAUCAUGCCAGAAUCCCAAGUGUUUAUGAGGAGCAAAGAAAAAAUGGAAUCAAAGUGUGAAGUCAUUUUGGAAAAUCUCAGAAGAGAAGAUGUGAGAAUCACCUUCUGGGGUGAUAGCGCCUGAGAAUUCGAUGUAGAAGCUGUUCAAAAGCGUCCUCCUUUUGUUCUAGCAGUAUUUACAAGUUUACAGAUCACUGAAUUCCAAGAACAGACCACACUCACAGCAACGAAUCACACUUGCAUGGUUAUAGAUCCACAAAUUCCACAAACGGAUGAAUAUAGAAAGGAAUUCUCAAAGCCAGGUGAUAAGGUGAAGGUCCUUGCUAUUCCAUUUAAACAGCCAACACAACAAGACCUGAAGAGCCAGAGAAAAAAAACAGUACGAGAUCUAAACACACUCAAUACGCACUUAUACGCAAAUGAUACUGUUUAUUGCAACGGUAAAAUCUCCAGAUUCUCAACACACGACAGUUGGUGGUACAACGGCUGUCCAUUGUGCCACAAGCAACUUCGACAGAAAGAAAAUUCCAGCCAAUUGAGUUGCAACAAGCAUGAUGCGCAAGAACCUCUCCCAUGUUAUAGAGUGUAGAUGACAAUUGAAGAUCUUGAAAAUGAAGCCACACUAAUUGUGAUGGGGAAAGCAGCUGAGCAACUCUUCGGCAACAGCUGUCAAGAAUUAAUGAAUAGAAGACAAUAUCCAACAAGAUAGACACUGCCAAAGGAAAUCGAGGAUACGAUUGGCCAACAUCACCUCUUUUAGAUCGAGCCAAGGUCUAACAGCGAGCUUAUUGUGAAGGCCAUAUUUCCUGAUCCAGAGGCUCCUGUAGGAGUAGCUACCCCAGAUCGUUCUACC